AGAUGACUUAUUUGCAUUUGAUUGUUAUUCCACCAUAAUUAGUGUGUGAUAAUUGAUAUUAAGAUGUCAACUAUUGUUAAAUUAGAUUGAAAUAAAGCUAAACUGUAAUUCGCGCCUUUAACAUUUAACCAGUCACAUUGCGUCUUGUAACUGUUGCUUUACGUUCAAAUCUCAUGUGAAUCUAAGAAUAAACGUUUCUUUUUCAUCUCAAUCUCGUGUCUCCAUUAAAUCUAAUUUAUUAUUAAUGGUGUUUAAAUGGUUGAUAAUAAGAGUUAGUUAACUACUCAAUUCAGUCAAGUGUACAACAAUUAGCCGAGCAAUAGCGAUUUUCCUACAAUUUCUCAAUUUACAAUAUAUAAAAGAAAGUUAACCACCCUUGAUGCUAGCCGGAAGAGGAUUUAAUAAGAAUCACCUUACAAAGCUAAUUGGAUUGAAGCAAAGAGUUGAACAAGCUAUACAAGAGCAUUACGGUGUUUCUACAACGUAACAUGGAUGACCAGUUUAAGAGGGAAAACAAGAGACAUAUUGGAUUACAAAUAACAAGUGGAUUUGGAAAGUGAUUGGGAAAUGAAAUAUAAAAUGGCAGACUAACCGUGAUUAGGAAUAAUUGAUUUUAACAUCAAUUUGAUUUGGUUAACUGAUCUCCUGUUGGUGAUUUACAAAUCGCGUAGCUCUGGUUUUGCGUUUGCCCUUUGUUUUGCUUACAAAGGUGUUAAGGGUUGUGCGUUAAUUUGUCACCAAAAAAGUAUUACCAUAUGAUCAACACUUUACUGAUGAAUUAAACAUUGGAAAUAAUACACUGUUAGUUAGCAGUUGGACGUGAUUUAAUAAUGGUGGAAAUUAACUCAGUGAUGAGAAAAAGAUGACGAACAAUUUGCAGAAAAAAGUGUAUAGAAAAAUGGAUGUAUGGCAAGAAUUGCGUUUUUCGUGUUCUGUUCUGAAUUAACCUGAAGACCGUUUGAACAACAACGAGUGAAUGUUUUAACAAUUUAUAAUGUUAACUUUGAUUAACUUAGGCUCCUCCUGCAAUUAAACAUUAAUAAGAGUCCAUUUAAUUGUAAAAAGAACUGCCCUUUGUGGAUCUCUAUCAGCCAAUCAUAACUUAAUUUAAUAACAACUUUCAUUUUCUUCCCCGCUACAUCGUCUCAACAUCAACUUGUCUUCAACUUCACCAUCUCCUUCCAUUUUGAUACAAUUAAAUUUAAUCAAAGAUCAACACAGUUACAAUCGGUUACAGUGUUAACAUUGUCAUCAAAAUUAAUCAUCACCAUCACCAUCCAUUCAUUUUGUUCCGCAUUUAAGAUUAAUUUUUUAUCAAACACAACCUCAACCAAUUUAUUAAAUAACCAAGUUGAUAUUGGUUAUGAAUUUCAACAAACUCUUCAUAAGAUGGCGAAGGUAAACAUUAUCCUGUCAAUGCUAUAAAUACAACUGUACAAACAAAUGGCACUUUUAUUGUAAUAGCUGCUUGUGACAAUCACAAUAGUUAACACUGAUUUUCAUCAUCUGAUUCCAUCAUAAAGCUUUACAUAAUAUCUUCUAGCAUCAUAUUAAUUAAUCAUUACACCUGGUUAAUAAAUUAAAUUGUCGGUUCGGAUGGGAAAAACACAAUAAAAUUGAGUGACAUUUUAAAGAAGCAAAGGCUUUGGAAUCAAAAUCGAUUGGAUUCGUCAAAUU